UCGACCCCACCUUCCAUCUCAACCGUCCAUUCCUGCCAAGAUGUGUGAGAUCCUGCACAUCCAAGGUGGCCAGUGCGGCAACCAAAUCAAAGCCAAGUUAUUAGAAGUCAUCUGCGCCGAGCAGGGCAUUGAACUGACCGAACGCCAUUAUGGCAACUCGGAUAUGUAGCUUGAGCACAUCAAUGUCUACUACAACGAGCCCGACCACGGUUGUUUCUGGAGCUCGGUACAAUGGAUAACAUCUGAUCAGGUCCUUAUGGCCAGAUCUUUUGCCCCGAUAAUUUCAUCUUUGGGCAGUCCGGUGUAGGGAACAACUGGGCGAAUGUCACUGUUCAUUAGUUGAGGUUCAUCUUGGGAUGAACUCAAGCACACAACAAGGCAAUUCGUUGGGUUCUUGGUAUGUAAAAUAUUAUUCAUCAAUAAUUUCAAUGUACUUGUUGUAGGUUAA